rnacentral:lncRNA from 1 species
GGGAGACACUCCUGACUACAGAGACAGCGUCACCCUGUUCCCAGUCUUCUCAUGUGCAGAGUGAAGAUGAACACAGCUCUUUAUGUGGCAAAGUUUGCUUAGGAUGCAGGGGGAGGCGCUGCUUCUGGGCCAAUCCAGAGAGCUCUAGAUGCCAGACACAGGCGCCAGAAAGAAGGCUUUGCUGAUGGGGUUGGUGACACACCUUGUGGUGUAUGCACAUGUAGACACUCAGCACCUGGUGCCCACACGAUGCCCUCUUCAAGCAUCUGGCAAAUACUCUCCAGGAUUAUAUCUACGUGGUGUGAAGAAAGACCUUUAUCUUCCAUGUUGCCCCCACCCACACCACAAGAUCACCAGCCCCUGCAGGAGCUCCCCUCCCCCACCAGCUGACUGGCUGGCCCCCACCCGGGCCCAUCUGCUCUGCAUGUGUAAGCAUUGUCAAAUUGUUUGAAUAAAUUGUCACUCCGAUUAAAA